rnacentral:lncRNA from 1 species
GAGGGGCCGUUGCCUAGGAGGCCUUGCCUGCUCUGAGAUAAAAAUAUACAAGCACAGCAAAAACAUGAUAAUAUCAGAACAGAGGCCGAGGGAGGGCUCCUUGAGAAAUCACUAAGAAUUCUUGGCAUUUGCUAAUUACUUCAUCCAGAACACCACACCUGUGUAUGUUUAACAGAUGUAAGCCAUGUAUAUAUUGAAACAAUGCUUAUAAUAGACUCAGAGUGGCCAUCAGCCCUCUCUGCAUCUAUCCUGAUGUGUACAUUGGAUUGCGACACCAACAGGUAUGAAAGGUUUGAGCAAAAUAAUUGAAGCCAGUUGCCAUGCAAGAAGUGAUACUACCCUGGGACCACAAUGUUGUAAGAAGCCCAAGCUCCUGGGGAGACUUUGGAGAAUGAGAUGCUAUAUGAACAGAAAUAGAGAUGCUAAGGAAUACCAAGCUGCCACAAAUAAAUGAAGAAGUAAUCUUGGAAGGGGUUUUCCAGUUCCAGGUACCAUAGCAGAUGUGGGGGACUGGUCUUGACCACACCAAGAUAUGUCUCUUUGACAUGAGGGUUAUUUGAGGCUGAUUGCUUUUGAUAAACUGGGACAGGGAAGGAGGCUCUGAGGGGUGGAACUUGCUUGCCCUUUGUUAGGAGACAUUUACAUUGUAAAGGAAAUCUCCAUCUGUAAAGGUGCCUCCCUCUCCGUACCAGGAAGAAGAAAGGGGAUGAUCUUCUCUCUAGAAACUCUUAAUCAAUGCCAAAGGCAAGGACUUAAAUCUGCAUAAUAAUCUUAUUCCUGUUUCUGGUAACCUCCUGUAACUGUUUGCCCCCACCCCCAACAUCCUCCUUUGUCAUUAGCUGAGACGAUACUUAAGGUGGGGGCUUCAGCCAUUUUGAUGAGUCACUCAGCUUGCCUGACCUCUCCCAUGUAUACAUGUUAUAAAGUUUUGUUUAAUUUUCUUCUGCUAUUCUGUCUCAUGUGAAUUUAAUUCGUUCUCCGGCCAGACAAACCCAGAGAAGGUAGAGCUAAUGUCUCCAUCCCCUACAGUUUGGCAACUUGGACGGGAUAAAAUUUCACUGGCUGGACACUGCUUGCUCCUGGACUGCUGCAGCUGAGAGAUCCUGGACCCCUGACAAGAGCCGGCAAGAGGUAAGACUUCUUACCACGUCAGUCACCCGGAUCUCUGCUGGCAGGGUCCAAUGGAAGCAAGAGUGGUGAGUUUUUUGCUCUUCUAAAUUUAGAUUAGCAGGAGGAACUGUUGGUGAGGCUAGCUUCUUGGAUUCAGUGACUCUAGGAUUUGGUUGAGUACUCAUUUGUUGUAGAUCCUUUUCCUCCCAGAGAUAGUACUUUUCCUUGUCGCUGUCUUUUUGUUGUUUGUCAUAAGACACAGGCAUCUCUAUAAGCCUGUUGUCUGGGCUUUUUGUCUUGUUCUAUGUUUUGAGAGCUUGGCUUUGUGACCUUACUGGUCUCCGCCAUCGGAGGAUGCAUGUACCAGCACGCAUCUUGGUGGCCAGUUGUGUAGACUGGGGUUCUGGGACACACUCUCUUCGUCCGGCUGUGUUAGCUUUCUGGGGAGUUUGUCAUAAGAGAUCCCAAUUGCUUUCAUAAGGGCCCUUUGUCAUCUCAACCUUUGUUGCUUGCUGUGCAAUGAAGGCCUUUACUUUCUUAGACUAUAUUUGGGAGUGAACUUUCUGGAUCUCUUUUGGGGACGCCUCUUUGUGUCCUUGGUUAAGGGUUGGUUGAGUCGCUGUUAAGAUCCUACUCGUCAAUUCGGCCAGACAAUGGAUCAUUUAAAUUUGGAAAACUUCUAAAUUGGGGGAAAAAUUUGUGAGAGCUCUCAUCAUAAUUUUUACUGGUAUUUAUGAAAAGGCCAAGUUAAAAAGGAAACACAAGAAAAUGAUGACUAGGUUUAAACCCUGACUCAGGUUAUAAUUGAGUUGGUGAAAUAUAAAGGUCUAAGUGUUGAUAAGAUUAUAAUGGUUGGAAUGCUGGAGCUGAUUUUCUUUAUGAAGAGGUUAUAUCAACUUUGCCUGAGUAUGUUUUAACAUUGUCGGGCUGGGAAUACUUCCUUAUGCAAUAUUAUAAGACUAAGACCUGUUAAGUCCUGGCCAUGGGUCCUGUCCCCAUGCUGCAGCUAUUCGCUGCCCAGUGGCCCUGUCCCCACGCUAUUUGAAUAAAGGAACACUCAUAUCAGACCUUGAGAGUUCA